GCAGAUCCCAAGAUGGAUGUCCAUCAGAUUUCAAUACUGAGAGAAGGAUGCCCUUCAAGUUAGAAUAUCAAGGGAAACCAAAAGGCAGAAUUGGGUAAUCUGCAGAGAGAAGGUCAGCUGGAGUAGUGUAGCAGAACUGCUGAGUCAUUGCUUGAACCAGUAAUUGAGCACCUGGUGGGAAGGCAGGGCCAAUACAGUGGAGCUCAGGUGCAUGCAGUGCCCGCGAGUGACUGGAAGGGGUGCAGCCAGGAUCCACCCCUUCCCAGACCUCAUUUAAGGGUUGGCAGUGGAAGUGAGUGGUUUUUAUUGGAGGUCCCUGCUUAUAUGUGAACUUCCAAAGGUUCGCAUGAAGAGAGAAGGGAGGGCUUUGGUCAGCUCCGGAGACGAAACGCAGGAAUUGGAUGGAACAAAACUUGAUAACUUGCCCGAGGAAUUCCCUCCCCAAGCGCCGCUGCG
rnacentral:lncRNA from 1 species